UACGUAGGGAGCAAGCGUUGUCCGGAAUCAUUGGGCGUAAAGCGCGCGUAGGUGGCCUCAUAAGUCCGCUGUGAAAGUCAAAGGCUCAACCUUUGAAAGCCGGUGGAUACUGUGGGGCUAGAGUACGGAAGAGGCGAGUGGAAUUCCUGGUGUAGCGGUGAAAUGCGCAGAUAUCAGGAAGAACACCCGUGGCGAAGGCGGCUCUCUGGGACGGUACUGACGCUGAGACGCGAAAGCGUGGGGAGCGAACAGG
rnacentral:rRNA from 1 species